AUGGCUGCAGACAUUUCUGAAUCCUAUGGGGCCAAGUGCAAAGGAGACCUAAGGAACAGGGCCGAGUUAGAUGCUGAUUACCCACUGUGAGUCCUUUAUUGUGGAGUCUGUUCAUUACCAACAGGCUACUGUAAAUACAUGCCUAAUGUUGCUAAAUGUAGAUAAUGGUUAGAGAAGAAUUUUCCAAAUGAAUCUGCAAAACUUACUGUAGAAAUUCACCCAAACAAGAAGCUGGAAUUAAUGAGGGUCAAGGAACAGCAGGGGCAGAAGAGAAGAAUAAAAUACAAAAGAGAGGUGAAAGGGGUCAAAUAAAACAAAGAAAAGAAGGCCAUACCAGAAAAGGUUACACAGCCAAAAUUCCCACAACAGAGAAGAAACAUGUAACAUGAAUGUGUGGCCUCUAACUUUUGAAAUUGAUCUUAAAAAAGCACAAAGAUUUUUUGCUCAAAAAUUGUGUGGUGCCUCAGUAACAGAAGAGGAAGAAAUUAUCAUUCAGGAAGACUUUACAGAUGACAUAAUUGAUGUUAUUCAGGAAAACUGGCCAGAGGUAAAUGAUGACAGCACUGAAGAUCUUGGAGAAGUAAAGAAG
rnacentral:lncRNA from 10 species